AAAGUCGAAGAUGACGAGAUGAUAUCCUUCAUCCUUACUGGUUUGGAUAGUGAGUAUAAUCCCAUUGUUACUUCUGUCAUGGGCCGUACUGAUCCAAUUCCCUUGAGCGAGUUGUAUGCUCAGGUGAUGGCGUAUGAAA
rfam:Setaria italica strain Yugu1 chromosome VIII, whole genome shotgun sequence.